GGAAACGAACUGCUAAUACCGCAUGAUGCGAUUGUCUCGCAUGGGACUGAUCGCCAAAGAUUUAUCGCUCUGAGAUGGCCUCGCGUCUGAUUAGCUAGUUGGUGGGGUAACGGGCUCACCAAGGCGACGAUCGGUAGCUGGUCUGAGAGGAUGAUCAGCCACAUUGGGACUGAGACACGGCCCAGACUCCUACGGGAGGCAGCAUG
rnacentral:rRNA from 1 species